rnacentral:rRNA from 1 species
GUGGGGAAUUUUGGACAAUGGGCGCAAGCCUGAUCCAGCAAUGCCGCGUGCAGGAAGAAGGCCUUCGGGUUGUAAACUGCUUUUGUACGGAACGAAACGGUCCUGGUUAAUACCUGGGGCUAAUGACGGUACCGUAAGAAUAAGCACCGGCUAACUACGUGCCAGCAGCCGCGGUAAUACGUAGGGUGCAAGCGUUAAUCGGAAUUACUGGGCGUAAAGCGUGCGCAGGCGGUUUUGUAAGACAGGCGUGAAAUCCCCGGGCUCAACCUGGGGAUUGCGCUUGUGACUGCAAGGCUGGAGUGCGGCAGAGGGGGAUGGAAUUCCGCGUGUAGCAGUGAAAUGCGUAGAUAUGCGGAGGAACACCGAUGGCGAAGGCAAUCCCCUGGGCCUGCACUGACGCUCAUGCACGAAAGCGUGGGGAGCAAACAGGAUUAGAAACCCUGGUAGUCC